rnacentral:rRNA from 1 species
AUACGUAGGGGGCAAGCGUUGUCCGGAAUGAUUGGGCGUAAAGGGCGCGUAGGCGGCCCGGUAAGUCUGAAGUGAAAGUCCUGGCUUCAAGUUGGGAAUUGCUUUGGAUACUGUCGGGCUUGAGUGCAGGAGAGGUAAGUGGAAUUCCCAGUGUAGCGGUGAAAUGCGUAGAGAUUGGGAGGAACACCAGUGGCGAAGGCGACUUACUGGACUGUAACUGACGCUGAGGCGCGAAAGUGUGGGGAGCAAACAGGAUUAGAUACCCUGGUAGUCCACACUGUAAACGAUGAAUGCUAGGUGUAGGGGGUAUCGACCCCUUCUGUGCCGCAGUUAACACAAUAAGCAUUCCGCCUGGGGAGUACGGCCGCAAGGUUGAAACUUAAAGGAAUUGACGGGG